rnacentral:rRNA from 1 species
AGUGAACGCUGGCGGUAGGCCUAACACAUGCAAGUCGAACGGCAGCACAGUAAGAGCUUGCUCUUACGGGUGGCGAGUGGCGGACGGGUGAGGAAUACAUCGGAAUCUACUUUUUCGUGGGGGAUAACGUAGGGAAACUUACGCUAAUACCGCAUACGACCUACGGGUGAAAGCAGGGGAUCUUCGGACCUUGCGCGAUUGAAUGAGCCGAUGUCGGAUUAGCUAGUUGGCGGGGUAAAGGCCCACCAAGGCGACGAUCCGUAGCUGGUCUGAGAGGAUGAUCAGCCACACUGGAACGGAGACACGGUCAAGACGCCUACGGGAGGCAGCAGUGGGGAAUAUUGGACAAUGGGCGAAAGCCUGAUCCAGCCAUACCGCGUGGGUGAAGAAGGCCUUCGGGUUGUAAAGCCCUUUUGUUGGGAAAGAAAAGCAGCAGGUUAAUACCCCGCUGUUCUGACGGUACCCAAAGAAUAAGCACCGGCUAACUUCGUG